CAAUAGCGUAUAUUAAAGUUGUUGCAGUUAAAACGCUCGUAGUCGGAUUUCGGGGCGGGUCCGCCGGUCUGCCGAUGGGUACGCACUGGCGGGCGCGUCCUUCCUUCCGGAGACUGGCCCUACUCUUAGCUGAGCGGGGUCGGGAGUCGGAUCGUUUACUUUGAAAAAAUCAGAGUGUUUCAAGCAGGCAGCUCGCUCUUGCAUGGAUUAGCAUGGGAUAAUGAAAUAGGACUUUGGUGCUAUUUUGUUGGUUUCGAACACCGAAGUAAUGAUUAACAGGGACAGUCAGGGGCACUCGUAUUCCGCCGAGAGAGGUGAAAUUCUCAGACCAGCGGAAGACGAACCACUGCGAAAGCAUUUGCCAGGGAUGUUUUCACUG
rnacentral:rRNA from 1 species